CUGGUAGUGGCAGCUGAAGCAGCUGAUGCACUGGUAGAGGCAUGUCCAGGACAUUUGGAGCAGGGGGAUCUACAGGCAACAGCUGGAAACUGAAAAAU